CCACCCUUAGCUCAGCUGGAUAGAGCGUCGCCCUCCGGAGGCGAAGGUCAGAGGUUCGAAUCCUCUAGGGUGGGCCA
rnacentral:tRNA from 1 species